rnacentral:rRNA from 1 species
AGUGAACGCUGGCGGCAGGCCUAACACAUGCAAGUCGAGCGAGCGUCGGACGGGUGAGUAAUGUCUGGGAAACUGCCUGAUGGAGGGGGAUAACUACUGGAAACGGUAGCUAAUACCGCAUACCAUCAGAUGUGCCCAGAUGGGAUUAGCUAGUAGGUGGGGUAACGGCUCACCUAGGCUACGAUCCCUAGCUGGUCUGAGAGGAUGAACAGCCACACUGGAACUGAGACACGGUCCAGACUCCUACGGGAGGCAGCAGUGGGGAAUAUGGGAAAAUGGGGGGAAGCCUGAUGGAGCAAUGCCGAGUGUAUGAAGAAGGACUUCGGGUUGUAAAGUACUUUCAGCGGGGAGGCGGUACCCGAAGAAGAAGCACCGGCCAACUCCGUGGCAGCAGCCGGGGGAAUUAC